AGCGGUGAAAUGCGUAGAGAUCUGGAGGAAUACCGGUGGCGAAGGCGGCCCCCUGGACGAAGACUGACGCUCAGGUGCGAAAGCGUGGGGAGCAAACAGGAUUAGAUACCCUGGUAGUCCACGCCGUAAACGAUGUCGACUUGGAGGUUGUGCCCUUGAGGCGUGGCUUCCGGAGCUAACGCGUUAAGUCGACCGCCUGGGGAGUACGGCCGCAAGGUUAAAACUCAAAUGAAUUGACGGGGGCCCGCACAAGCGGUGGAGCAUGUGGUUUAAUUCGAUGCAACGCGAAGAACC
rnacentral:rRNA from 1 species